rnacentral:rRNA from 1 species
UACGGAGGGUGCAAGCGUUAUCCGGAUUCACUGGGUUUAAAGGGUGCGUAGGUGGGGAGGUAAGUCAGCGGUGAAAUCCCCGAGCUUAACUUGGGAACUGCCAUUGGUACUAUCUCUCUUGAAUACCUUGGAGGUGAGCGGAAUAUGUCAUGUAGCGGUGAAAAUGCUUUAGAUAUGACAUAGAACACCAAUUGCGAAAGGCAGCUCACUACACGGUCAUUGACACUGAGGCACGAAAGCGUGGGGGAUCAAAACAGG